AUUGAACGCUGGCGGCAGGCCUAACACAUGCAAGUCGAGCGGAGCGACGGACGGGUGAGUAAUGCCUAGGAAUCUACCUGGUAGAGGGGGAUAACAUCCGGAAACGGGCGCUAAUACCGCAUCCUAUCAGAUGAGCCUAGGGCGGAUUGGCUAGAUGGUGGGGUAAAGGCCUACCAAGGCGACGAUCCGUAACUGGUCUGAGAGGAUGAUCAGUCACACUGGAACUGAUACACGGUCCAGACGCCUACGGGAGGCAGCAGUGGGGAAGAUUGGACAAUGGGCGAAAGCCUGAUCCAGCCAGGCCGCGUGUGUGAAGAAGGUCUUCGGAUUGUAAAGCACUUUAAGUUGGGAGGCGUUACCAACAGAAUAAGCACCGGCUAACUUCGUGCCAGCAGCCGCGGUAAUAC
rnacentral:rRNA from 1 species